rfam:Gossypium hirsutum cultivar TM-1 chromosome 15, whole genome shotgun sequence
AUCUCAUGGUGAGAGCAUCUACAAAGUAACUCCUUGAAUCUUUCCCACGCCUAGUAUAGGAACUCAUCAUCCAUUGGCUAGAAAGUAGUGAUCUUAUUCCGCAACUU